CCUUGUCUUGUCUGGUCUGUUGUGUUGGAUUCUUUGUUCUCCCGUGGACCUUGUUUGGAUUCUUGGAUUUUGGAUUUUGUCUGCUCACCUCUGCCUGUACAUGCCUGCAUUCCACCCCACAAUAAACACGGUAGUCAUCCGGCUACUUCACCCUGAGACCGCUUCCUCGUCAUCUGCUUUUGGGUCCACAUACCUCUACAUAGCACCCCGCUACGACAGGCGAGCUGCUCGGAGCACGAAGAAGAAAGUCAGGACUUUCAGCAGCAGCUGACAGGGAUGAGGGAUGAAGUGUGUGUGUGUGUGAAGGAUAAAAAGAUGGAAAUAUGAAGUAAGAAGAAGCAAGGGAAAACGAGAGGAGGGAGGAGGUGGUGAGGAAGAGUGUUAUCCAAAGGACAGAAAGAGGAAGUGGUGUAAAAGAAGAAAAACAGAGCGCGCAGAUGAAGAAAAGGGGAUGAGGAGGAGAGGAAUGGGAAGAGAAGAAGCAGGACAAUGAAGAGGAUGAUGAUGAGAUGAUGGUGUAGGAAAAGUUAGAAGUAAAGAGUUGGAUCAGAAGAUAAAGAUGGUGAUAAAAAGAAGAGGCAGAACCGGAAGAACAAACAGGUGGUUAGGAUCAAGAAAAAUGGAGAGCAAAAAGGAGAGAACUUUCUCUUGACAGCCGAAGACAGAUGGGUGAAAUAAUGGACGGAGACAGAAGAGAGCAGGAUGGAAGGACGGUGUGAGGAAGAAGCCUGUCAACACUUUCAGCCAACACCUCAUGACGAUGUGCAGCUUCAGCUGGCAGUUGGAUCAUGUCCUCAUACUGGAUGUAGAUAUACGCAAAAUAUGUUUUCAGAAAUACUCACAUCAAAUGGGUUUUUAUUCUUCACAUAAAACGAUACUUUCAAUUGAAUUUUAGCCUAAAAUGUUCAUUUAGUCAUGUCCAGUGUUGGGCAGUACUAGUUUUACUUCAUUCCUCAGCCGCGUGGGGGUGGUGUAGCUGUUUUCUGAAUCGAAUAGCUUUUCAGGAGCUCUUUUAUUGAUCAGGUAUUGUGGUAGCGUCCACACAAGCUAACGUUACAUUUACCCAAGCAUUUCGAGUAAACUUGAGCAUUUCUGAAGCUAAAGCGCAGCGGAGGGUCUGAAAUAAAACUGCUCACGAUCAGUAAGUGACGCCACCGUCCACACGGACGUGUAUGAGUAACCGACAGAAGCACUUCUGCAGGACGGCGACAUCGCGUACCAAUGUACGACGCCUCUGCUGCAGAAA